rnacentral:rRNA from 1 species
GACGAACGCUGGCGGCGUGCUUAACACAUGCAAGUCGAACGGAAAGGCCCUGCUUUUGUGGGGUGCUCGAGUGGCGAACGGGUGAGUAACACGUGAGUAACCUGCCCUUGACUUUGGGAUAACUUCAGGAAACUGGGGCUAAUACCGGAUAGGAGCUCCUGCUGCCUGGUGGGGGUUGGAAAGUUUCGGCGGUUGGGGAUGGACUCGCGGCUUAUCAGCUUGUUGGUGGGGUAGUGGCUUACCAAGGCUUUGACGGGUAGCCGGCCUGAGAGGGUAACCGGCCACAUUGGGACUGAGAUACGGCCCAGACUCCUACGGGAGGCAGCAGUGGGGAAUAUUGCACAAUGGGCGGAAGCCUGAUGCAGCAACGCCGCGUGCGGGAUGACGGCCUUCGGGUUGUAAACCGCUUUCGCCUGUGACGAAGCGUGAGUGACGGUAAUGGGUAAAGAAGCACCGGCUAACUACGUG